UUAAGCGACUAAGCGUACACGGUGGAUGCCCUGGCAGUCAGAGGCGAUGAAGGACGUGCUAAUCUGCGAAAAGCGUCGGUAAGGUGAUAUGAACCGUUAUAGCCGGCGAUGUCCGAAUGGGGAAACCCAGUGCAAUUCGUUGCACUAUCGUUUGAUGAAUACAUAGUCAAACGAGGCGAACCGGGGGAACUGAAACAUCUAAGUACCCCGAGGAAAAGAAAUCAACCGAGAUUCCCCCAGUAGCGGCGAGCGAACGGGGAGCAGCCCGGAGUCUGAAUCAGCUUGUGUGUUAGUGGAAGCGUCUGGAAAGUCGCAGGGUACAGGGUGAUACUCCCGUACACUAAAACGCACAGGUUGUGAACUCGAAGAGUAGGGCGGGACACGUGGUAUCCUGUCUGAAUAUGGGGGGACCAUCCUCCAAGGCUAAAUACUCCUGACUGACCGAUAGUGAACCAGUACCGUGAGGGAAAGGCGAAAAGAACCCCGGCGAGGGGAGUGAAAAAGAACCUGAAACCGUGUACGUACAAGCAGUAGGAGCCCACUAGUUGGGUGACUGCGUACCUUUUGUAUAAUGGGUCAGCGACUUAUAUUCUGUAGCAAGGUUAACCGUAUAGGGGAGCCGCAGGGAAACCGAGUCUUAACUGGGCGUUAAGUUGCAGGGUAUAGACCCGAAACCCGGUGAUCUAGCCAUGGGCAGGUUGAAGGUUGGGUAACACUAACUGGAGGACCGAACCGACUAAUGUUGAAAAAUUAGCGGAUGACUUGUGGCUGGGGGUGAAAGGCCAAUCAAACCGGGAGAUAGCUGGUUCUCCCCGAAAGCUAUUUAGGUAGCGCCUCGUGAACUCAUCUUCGGGGGUAGAGCACUGUUUCGGCUAGGGGGUCAUCCCGACUUACCAACCCGAUGCAAACUACGAAUACCGAAGAAUGUUAUCACGGGAGACACACGGCGGGUGCUAACGUCCGUCGUGAAGAGGGAAACAACCCAGACCGCCAGCUAAGGUCCCAAAGUCAUGGUUAAGUGGGAAACGAUGUGGGAAGGCCCAGACAGCCAGGAUGUUGGCUUAGAAGCAGCCAUCAUUUAAAGAAAGCGUAAUAGCUCACUGGUCGAGUCGGCCUGCGCGGAAGAUGUAACGGGGCUAAACCAUGCACCGAAGCUGCGGCAGCGACACUAUGUGUUGUUGGGUAGGGGAGCGUUCUGUAAGCCGUUGAAGGUGGCCUGUGAGGGUUGCUGGAGGUAUCAGAAGUGCGAAUGCUGACAUAAGUAACGAUAAUGCGGGUGAAAAACCCGCACGCCGGAAGACCAAGGGUUCCUGUCCAACGUUAAUCGGGGCAGGGUGAGUCGACCCCUAAGGCGAGGCCGAAAGGCGUAGUCGAUGGGAAACAGGUUAAUAUUCCUGUACUCGGUGUUACUGCGAAGGGGGGACGGAGAAGGCUAUGUUGGCCGGGCGACGGUUGUCCCGGUUUAAGCAUGUAGGCGGAUGUUCCAGGUAAAUCCGGAACGUUACUAACGCUGAGGUGUGAUGACGAGGCACUACGGUGCUGAAGUGACAAAUGCCCUGCUUCCAGGAAAAGCCUCUAAGCAUCAGGUAACAUCAAAUCGUACCCCAAACCGACACAGGUGGUCAGGUAGAGAAUACCAAGGCGCUUGAGAGAACUCGGGUGAAGGAACUAGGCAAAAUGGUGCCGUAACUUCGGGAGAAGGCACGCUGAUGGUAGGUGAAGCGACUUGCUCGUGGAGCUGAAAUCAGUCGAAGAUACCAGCUGGCUGCAACUGUUUAUUAAAAACACAGCACUGUGCAAACACGAAAGUGGACGUAUACGGUGUGACGCCUGCCCGGUGCCGGAAGGUUAAUUGAUGGGGUUAUCCGUAAGGAGAAGCUCUUGAUCGAAGCCCCGGUAAACGGCGGCCGUAACUAUAACGGUCCUAAGGUAGCGAAAUUCCUUGUCGGGUAAGUUCCGACCUGCACGAAUGGCGUAAUGAUGGCCAGGCUGUCUCCACCCGAGACUCAGUGAAAUUGAACUCGCUGUGAAGAUGCAGUGUACCCGCGGCAAGACGGAAAGACCCCGUGAACCUUUACUAUAGCUUGACACUGAACACUGGUCCUUGAUGUGUAGGAUAGGUGGGAGGCUUUGAAGUGUGGACGCCAGUCUGCAUGGAGCCAUCCUUGAAAUACCACCCUUUAAUGGCUGGUGUUCUAACGUGGGCCCCUAAUCGGGGUUGCGGACAGUGUCUGGUGGGUAGUUUGACUGGGGCGGUCUCCUCCUAAAGAGUAACGGAGGAGCACGAAGGUCAGCUAAUCCUGGUCGGACAUCAGGAGGUUAGUGCAAUGGCAUAAGCUGGCUUGACUGCGAGCGUGACGGCGCGAGCAGGUGCGAAAGCAGGUCAUAGUGAUCCGGUGGUUCUGAAUGGAAGGGCCAUCGCUCAACGGAUAAAAGGUACUCCGGGGAUAACAGGCUGAUACCGCCCAAGAGUUCAUAUCGACGGCGGUGUUUGGCACCUCGAUGUCGGCUCAUCACAUCCUGGGGCUGAAGUAGGUCCCAAGGGUAUGGCUGUUCGCCAUUUAAAGUGGUACGCGAGCUGGGUUUAGAACGUCGUGAGACAGUUCGGUCCCUAUCUGCCGUGGGCGCUGGAGAAUUGAGGGGGGCUGCUCCUAGUACGAGAGGACCGGAGUGGACGCAUCACUGGUGUUCGGGUUGUCAUGCCAAUGGCAUUGCCCGGUAGCUAAAUGCGGAAGAGAUAAGUGCUGAAAGCAUCUAAGCACGAAACUUGCCCCGAGAUGAGUUCUCCCUGACUCCUUGAGAGUCCUGAAGGAACGUUGAAGACGACGACGUUGAUAGGCCGGGUGUGUAAGCGCAGCGAUGCGUUGAGCUAACCGGUACUAAUGAACCGUGAGGCUUAACCU
rnacentral:rRNA from 1 species